CUUUUUUCAGAAUUUUUUGUCUCUCUCACCUCUCUUGUUCUCUCUCUGGCGCAGCUAUAUGUCUCUCUCUCUGCUCUCUCUCUCUCUCUCUCUCUCUCUCUCUCUCUCUCUCUCUCUCUCUCUCUCACGCAACUCUGUCUUGCUCUCUCUUUUGAAUCGUGAACCCUUCCUUCAACCCCGUAUUUUAAGUAUGUCUUCUGAAUAGGUGCUUGCAACCUUGAAGCUCUACUGGAUCGGCGACCUUGAAAAGAUAGGGUUGAUGGUUAUUUUCUUAAUAUCUGUGGGAUUAUGUGAAAUAGGUUUUGUUUGAUUGCUUGGGAUUCUAUUAAAUUGGUUUUGGGUUUAAUUGCUUUCGGUUAGGUUUUUGGAAUCUUCAUACUCAUCCAUCUAUGUUUGACCAAUUGCAUUUAGAUUGAUCUGGAUAUGUGAAUCUGGAAACUUGGGAUUUUCCAUUUGAUGUAGUGGAUGCUGUUGUGUUCAGUCGUAUUGUUGUUAUGUUACUAUUAUAUUGCUGUUAUAUUGUGGUUAUAUUGCCUUCUUAUUGCUUGGUUAUUGUCGUUGUACUGUGGUAAUGAAAUGUUGUUUUCUCAUGGUUAGAAAUGGAGACAAUUGUUAUUCUGGUUCGCUACAAUGGAAAAUGGGUAACCUCAAAGAAGAUGUGCAAAUACGAAGGGGGUGACUCAAAAGACUUAAUAGUUCCACUGACCAUCACAUUUGCUAAACUAUUGGAUCGUAUGCAUCAGAUUGGUAAUACAAAUUUGGUAUUUUCCCAAAUUUCCAAUUUUAUAUGCAGUGCUUUGUAUUUGUUUUUCGGCUGUAUCACGUUUCUAUAUUUUCGUUGUUCUUCAGAUUUUGUCAUUUUCAAUCUUUCUGUGAUUUGAGUAUAUUCAGAAAUUGGGCAUUUCCCAGUAAGGUAAUUUUUCGAUUUUCCAAUUUUCCAAUUUUGUUUUCUAUGUUUUUAAAAUUUCCAAAAAUUGCUUAGUUACAAAAUCCAUUUUUGGCCUGAAAUCCAAUUUUAUUGCUAUUUUUGUAAUGCUCUAAUGCUCUAAAUUAUAGCCAAGGAGUAAAUGAUGUACAUUUCAAUCCAAUCAAUUUAAUGAACCAACUACAUACCCAAUUUCAUCAUAUAUAGACAUUCAACUAACUCCUUGAACACAAUAUAAAAUAGACAAGUUCCUAUACAUAAUUGAAGCAUAGGCAGCUUCUUAAUGUGAGGUUUAGGAAAGGUCAUUAUUCUGCACUUACUCAGAGACAAACAUUCUCCAGUAAAGUUGACCAUAUUUUUGUUUACAAGUUUUCAAUAAAUACAAUUGUGAGACUAAAUGUAGCUUUGAAAUUUGUUUUUGCAGACUGCAGUUGUCAAUUGUCCCCAGCAGUAGUUAAAGAUGUUGGACGUACGACCUCCAAACGAAGAUGUCAGUUACCCAGGAGACCAGCCGUGGCAUGUGUCGUUCCCAUCUCCACCUCUGACUCCAAUUGCCACCCUAUUGCGUGUAUCCCAGCGAUAGUUAUUGCUAUCCUAUUGCAAAAUAUUGCCCUCAUAUUGCCACUAGAUUGUCUGUGUAUUGCCCAAAUAUUGUGGUUCUAUUGUAUGUAUAUUGACUAGGGCUCGUCAUUGGGUUUAGAGUUUAGGGCCUACUUUAUUCGAAAACAAGAAGAAGAGGAGAAAGGAACAAUGUGCCUUUCAAAAAGAGGCACUUAGCUACAUCAUAAUUACACCAUAAGACAUUGUAAGAAAUAAUUAUUAAAAAUUAUAAGUGCGAAAAAAUUAUUUAGAAAAAAAGGAAGAUAUGAAUAAAUAUGCAAAUGCUUGGUGAUGGG
rnacentral:lncRNA from 1 species